AUUGAACGCUGGCGGCAGGCUUAACACAUGCAAGUCGAGCGGAGCGAGGGUGCUUGCACCUUAGCUUAGCGGCGGACGGGUGAGUAAUGCUUAGGAAUCUGCCUAUUAGUGGGGGACAACAUUCCGAAAGGAAUGCUAAUACCGCAUACGCCCUACGGGGAAAGCAGGGGAUCUUUGGACCUUGCGCUAAUAGAUGAGCCUAAGUCGGAUUAGCUAGUUGGUGGGGUAAAGGCCUACCAAGGCGACGAUCUGUAGCGGGUCUGAGAGGAUGAUCCGCCACACUGGGACUGAGACACGGCCCAGACUCCUACGGGAGGCAGCAGUGGGGAAUAUUGGACAAUGGGCGGAAGCCUGAUCCAGCCAUGCCGCGUGUGUGAAGAAGGCCUUUUGGUUGUAAAGCACUUUAAGCGAGGAGGAGGAGCUCUAGGUUAAUACCCUAGAUGCUUGGACGUUACUCGCAGAAUAAGCACCGGCUAACUCUGUGCCAGCCGCCGCAGUAAAAC
rnacentral:rRNA from 1 species